rnacentral:rRNA from 1 species
ACGAACGCUGGCGGCAGGCUUAACACAUGCAAGUCGAGCGCGUAGCAAUACGAGCGGCAGACGGGUGCGUAACACGUGGGAAUUUACCUAUCUCUACGGAACAACUCCGGGAAACUGGAGCUAAUACCGUAUACGCCCUUCGGGGGAAAGAUUUAUCGGAGAUAGAUGAGCCCGCGGCGGAUUAGCUAGUUGGUGGGGUAAAGGCCUACCAAGGCGACGAUCCGUAGCUGGUCUGAGAGGAUGACCAGCCACACUGGGACUGAGACACGGCCCAGACUCCUACGGGAGGCAGCAGUGGGGAAUAUUGGACAAUGGGCGCAAGCCUGAUCCAGCCAUGCCGCGUGAGUGAUGAAGGCCUUAGGGUUGUAAAGCUCUUUUACCCGUGAAGAUAAUGACUGUAGCGGGAGAAUAAGCCCCGGCUAACUUCGU